GCUCCCGUAGUUCAACGGAUAGAACAGAAGACUCCUAAGCUUCUGAUGUAGGUUCAAUUCCUGCCGGGAGCA
rnacentral:tRNA from 1 species